CACUCUAAGGAGACUGCCGUAGAUAAACCGGAGGAAGUGGGGAUGAACGUCAAAUCAUCACUGCCCUUAUGGCCUGGGCUACAACGUAAUACAAUGGCCGGUACAGACGGACGCAAAGCCGCGAGGUGGAGCAAAUCCUAAAAAGCCGGUCUCAGUUCGGAUUGCAGGCUGCAAUUCGCCUGCAUGAAGUCGGAAUCGCUAGUAAUCGCAGGUCAGCAUACUGCGGUGAAUACGUUCCCGGGCCUU
rnacentral:rRNA from 1 species